CUUGCUUGUCACAAACUUGUCAUUGCAGUAAUCUAACAUUUCUUUCACAGAGCCCGACGGAAAGUAUGGAACAAACAGGCCCUGCUGACGUUUUGGCUCUGUUAAGCCUUCCUCCAAGCUAAAGCAUCUGCAGCAUCUUCCUGUUCUAGACCCUUUAUCUGCUGAAGUUAGCUGAUACUGUACAUGUCAAAGAAAUGUUUGACUAUUGCAUAAACAAGUUGAUGACAAGCAAGUUAUUCCUGCAAUUGAAAUACUGCUGCUUUUAGCAGGCUGCCAUUUUGACCUUCAUUUUAUUAUAAAGAAGAACCUUAACAGAGCAAAGCACUGGAAAGAUACCAGCAUUGUUGGCCCAGGCUUGUGCAGGUCAACAAAGACCACCUAUCUGGUCAUAGGUGUGGUGGUAUAGUGGGCAUACUAGGCAAUUCCAUCAGAGUUAUGAAUGGGAUUUCCUAGUAAAAUAUAGAUGUUUUGAAUACAUUGGACUAUCCCAAGGAUUGCUCUUGGAGGGGUAAAAUCAACUACAAGAAAGUUCAUUUUCUUUUGCUUUCUUUCUAUUCCAUACCCCCACACAAGUGCAUGCACAUACACACACCUGGGUAUGCUUUAUCAAAUGUUAAUGGCUGGGACACUUAAAUGAAAAUUGUAUAUUCCCACUAUAUACAUUGUUUUUGCCAGUUCUUGCUGUUCCUCCUUAUUGGUGGCCUCCCCUACUCUACUUCUCAUUUGGCAUAGUAUCUAGAACAUCUUAAUCUAAUCAGAGAUAUGCCCUUAUCUCCUGAAAGGCAAGUAGGUAGCGCCCUCACAGAAACCUCAGGCAGCCCUCCCUAAGACCUCGCUAGUUCAUCCCAACCUCGGCUGCCAGCAGGGAGUGCUCACACACUGUGUAACUGUUGACUCUUGUCUGAAGAGUCCUCCUCCCCUGGGGGACCCACCCUCAGUGGGUCCCAGCCUUAUCAGCCUACAGAGCCUGGCUGGAGCCUGUAAUAGGAGCUUGCCUAUGGCCCACCCUGCUAAGCAUUCUGCUUUUGUUGGUGCCAUAGGAUAUCAGCACUUGGAACAAUGGAGCAUUUGCCCUAAGACUGUGGCUUUUCAUAAUACUGAGCUUCUCUUAUUCACCAGGGUGUCAGGUGCCUUGUAUUCUUUUUAGACCCUUCAGGUCUGUUCAGGGUACACUGAUGCUGUCUGGUCUAUUUUAAAUAUUAACAUGAAAAACUUUCAUUCUCUGACUUAAGUUGUGGCUAGUGCCACAGAUGCUUUCAUUUUUAAAAGUCUUGUGUAAAAAUGAUUAUCAUUGUUCAGCCAUGAGAGCCAAAUUUCUUGCCAAAGUGGUGUAGGCUUUAAUUUUCUUUUAGACUUGGCAAACUGACCACAAUACUGUCUCCCAGAUGAAUUCUUUACUCCCAUCCCAAAUAUCUCAUGCUGUAAUCUAUACCUCCGCUUUAUGGAACAACUACCUCAAAGGACAGGUGGAAAGAGUGUGAGAAGAGGGCCCAGUUCUUGAUACAGUUAAGGACAUUGUCUCUGGAAAAGGAAGUGAGGAUAGUUUGAGGCAGCAAUUGAAGGUUUCUCAAAAGAAAAUAUGUGAAUGAGC
rnacentral:lncRNA from 1 species